ensembl:lncRNA
CUUGCUGAAGAAAAAAGUGGAGUAUGUAUCCAAAAACUACAACAAAACAAACUGCAGAUGCAUCUCUAAAAAACCAUAGCAGAUUAAAUACGCACUUUUUUUCUAAACACUUCAUGUUUCAGUUGGCAGCUAUAAAUCACGUUACUAACCCCCAAAAGAACACUUACACCAAUGCAUCAAAAUUUCAUGCAGAAACUAUUCUGAAAAUGAGGGGAUUUUUCUUAAGGCUUUACAUGGAUAGACUAAACAUUUCUAGAUUUUAUUAAAUAUACAAAUUAGUUGCUGUCCAAUGGCUAAAUCACUCGGGUCAGACAGAAAAAAAGGUUGUUCCACAGUCACAUCUGAACUGUCAUGUAUGUACAGAAACAUUAUACAUCUUCGUGAGCAAUUUUGAUUAAAUGAAAUAUUGAACUAAAAAGUAGCUUCAGAUUUUAACAAGUGAUCAAUUUCAUGGUAUUACUGGAGAGUAUCAAUUAAAGCACAGCUGCAGCCAGCUUCUGUGAAUGCCAAGUCCUCCUUUCCUGCAUUUGCCAAAGAUUUCAGUGAUGUGACAGCUCAAAGAUGGUUUUUUACCCUUAGUGGCAUAUCUUCAGAACGAGCAUGUGUUUCUAUUUCCAGAGUAAGGUAUAGCUGGGAAAAAGUAGGUCGUUUUUUGUUCUGUGGCAGGAAAGGAGAAAGAUUUGUGCCUGAGACAAGAAUUUGAUUAAGAUGAAGAAACCCCAGUUCUCCAAACCAAAAACAUUAAACUCUGCUUGAAGAUCUUCCAUGAAACAAUUUGUGCACUCUUCAUAUUUUCAGUCUGUCUCUAGAGUGAUGACUGAAGAUUUACAGGAUUGUCUGAUCUGCCCUUGAAAUUUGGUUUCUUCUUUAGCCCGUUUAAUUCUCAAAUUCCAUUCCAACCAAGGAAAGACAAUUUUGAUCAACAAGCUGUUGCAACAGCAAAUCUUUCAAGGAAAUCUAUCAUAACCGUUGCAAUAGACCUAAAAUAAGAUGCUGAAACUUGUCAACCAAAAAAUUAGCUACAAUUAUGUAUCACUGUCUUAUCCUUACUGCAUCUUCUAAAGCAGGCAUUCUCUAAAGCAUAUGUAGAGCAUGUUUCUGCACAUCUGCAAAUAUUUUCGUCAGGCUGAAGUAAGAUAUAAGAGUUUCCCAGUGAUGUUAAAAUGAUUUAGAGCAGAAGAAAAAAGUAAGAUAUUUUUCCUGUCAGAAAGCAAAACAACCUGAAUUGAUAAAAUGAAAUAGAAUAAAAAAAAGUUAAGGUGGAAACAAAUUGGUUUGUUUGCAUUUCACUUCCUGUGCUUUUAAAACUUUUUAUGUAGCUGGUUUAUGGUACUACUUUAUUUUCCUUCUUAUUCCCUGACCAAAAAGGAAUAAGUUCAGUUAAAGUAAGUAAAUGUAGAAAUGUUAACAUAUAACAUCAACCAAGUGUAUGUUCCAAGUAAAAGAUGAAAUAUUUCAUUGUCUUAAAAAUAGCCUUUUUCCCUAGUGUGGCUGAAUCUAUGUGCUAAAAUAGAUGCAUGCUUGAUGCAGAGCUUACACACCAAGACUGGGUAUUUUGAAAGCUAGCUGAAAACUUCAACAUCUAGUUGAAUAACUCAAUGUUAUUCAAAAACACCCCAUUUUUUACACAGCUAUUUAAAUUCCUUAGACAUGUAGAAGUUUUUGUCAAUUUCUACUCUAAUCUGCUUUCACUAGCGGAGAAGUAAUGACCUAGCUUAGAUAUCACUUCACGUUUAAUUAAGACACCACUUGGAAUUGGGUGAAAGAUGAGGGAAAAGUACAGAAAAUGUAUUUUGAAAUUAUCUAUUCAUAUUUACCAGAGCUACAAUUUCUUUGGACAAAAACUGGAUCACCAGAAGAUCUCCAAAAUCUCCUCCAUUAAUUUUGUAGGAAUACUAGGUGUCUCCUGCUACUUUAGAUCCAAAAUGUUUAACUCUGUGAAGACAUAUGCAGUGCAGUGAGAAUAGCUUUUUGAAAUAAUAAAAAUAUAAUGCCAUGGCUAAACAAGUGUCAGUCUUAACAUCUUCUUGCACUACUGCAAAAUUGUCUCAUUCCACCUCAUAAUCCACUCAUCUACCUCACAUUUCCUCAGCUUACUUACAAGGAUGUUAUGGGAGACAGUGUCAAAAAGCCUUGCUGAAGUCAAGAUAAACAAUAUCCUCUGCUCUCACCUCUAUCCAGCCAGUCAUGACACCAUAGAAGGCCUUUUUUUUUUUUUUUUUUUUUUUUUUUUUUUUUUUUUUUUAAGAGAGAGAACUUCAUCAGUCAUUUCAUGAAGCAAAGGACGUAAUCUGCUUGAACACCAUGCACACUGGACUCUGUUCAAAACAGAGCUUCCAAAAAUCUGAGCCCAUUCUACAGUUUAAUAAUAUUUCUCUGGAACAGGCCGAAGUUAGGUUAACAAAAAAAUGGGUGAUAAAGCAGAACCUGGCUUCUGCUACAAAAACAAAACAGAACAACCAUCAAUUACACCACCACCAGCAAACCUGUCAAGGGUCAGCAAGAACUCUCCUCAAUAAUAGGAAAGAAAGAUUAUUACUAUCCUUUCAUAAGGAUAUAGUGAUAAUCAUUAACUUGCUCAGCUUGCAUUGUACCACAAAGAUGAAAUACUAUGAAGCUGACAAAGUACAUUUUGAAAAAGCUGCUUGUUUUCUUUAAAUCUACCUGUAUGUCCACACAAUCAGACUGCAGUGGUGCUGUGCAGAAAUUGCCAUAGAAAGUGCUUCUACCAUUCAGAAAAAAAUACAAGACUUACAUUCAGAAAUAUCCAAUCCUUUGGACAAAACUCCUAUUUCCUUAUUCACUUACUACGUAAGAUUCAGAGAUUGCAAGAUUUUUCUCUUCCAUCAUGCCAGGAAAUCUUGGAAAGAAAACUUUUAUUCAGCUAAUUUCAAUCUGAGAUGGAAGUACCAGUUCACUUGGGUUUCCUGUUAACUAAAAGACCUUGAAGGGAAAAAAGGAAAAAAAGGAAUCCUAUAACGAUCUUUUCACAAGCUGGUACCAAUAUACUGACUUACAUAUAAUUGAAGCCUAUGCCCAACAGCUGCGUUUGUAAAGCUGCUGAAGGUACAAUUCUUUAUUUUUUUUUAAAAGGAGAAUUCUUACAUCAUCAAUAUUUGGGCCAAAGCACACUGAGUUCAGGAUUGCUUCAAAGUGCAAUUUUGUUUUUCCUAUUUUAUAAAGACAGCAUUGGUUUCGAGUAAUCAGGUCAGAUAUGAGCUUAUUCUGAAACUUGCUGGUCUUUUCUAACAUUUGGGCACUUCAAAGCAAUACUCAUGACUUUGGCCUGUACUCAUCUUUAGUUUUCAAAUAGUAAAUGUUGCGCUGCGUGAUUUCACUAUACUUCAAAACAUCUCUCUUCCAUUUUCUUCUGUCUUGCUCCUGCCUUUCAAGCCUCCAGCUCCAAUUGUCUUCCCUGCCCUCAAUGAUUUCUUCUCCAACUUUGUGGUUGUUGGUUGCUUAUUAUCUUGGCUGUUUCAGUCCUCAAAUCUCAGUUCCCCAUCUGUUCUACUCACUGGCUUUUUUGUACUCUUUGCUAUUUCAUCCUUAUACUCUUCUGGAAUUCUUAGACCUAUUUCUUCAAUUUAUGUAAACUAUUUAUAACCCUGAUCUUUUCUGUCCUUCACUCUCACCCUCAGGCAUCUGACAUUGUCACUAAAGCCUUUAUAUCUGAACCAGAGUAUUUAUCCCACAGUCUUGCUUAAUCUCACCAUUUCAUUUAUUCUUCACAUGCUCCCAGCUCUCACUUUAAAUUGAAAACACAGCUUUUAGCCAUUGCAUUUUAGAACUACACUUUGUGAUUUCUUACAUCUUAGCAAAGGGGGACAUCUGUAUCUGUAUUAUUUAUAUUCGGAAAGCAUUUUGGUCAUGUACUUUGUGUGACUACAUAAAAUUUGCAUUGUUCUGUGUAUCCACAUCACCUCUGAGGGUUCCAGGAUUCUGUGUGGUUAAAAAACACAAGGGAAUUUUGGAAGAUCAUAUUUUCCACAUUUUCUGAGCUGAAGUGAGUACACACACAGCAGUGACAUUUUUAGCUGUGAGUCUAAAUGAAAUUUUUUCAUGGUAAAAGCCAAGCCUACUCUAGUAUUCAAAGGCCUGCUGCUAUACCCACUUUCUUCAGUUAAUACUUGGCCCAAUUACAUCUACAUCUAACUUGACAUUCAGCUUCUGGGUUUGUUUUUUUGUUUGUUUGUUUGUUUUUUUGUUUUGUUUUGUUGGCAUUAUCUACAUAGCUGCAAAAUACUUAGCACCAGCCUCCUCUAGUCUGGAGUUGUCAUUAAAACAUACCUAACAUGUCUUACUGACAGGAAACUGAAGAUUCUGUGAAAAUAUGUAUGUUCUCAUAAGGGCAUAUCCUGCCAUCAGACACCGCCAUCUGAGGAGGUAGGACUGAACUGUGGUGUCUCAGUCACACAGCACAGUCUCACACCAACAUGUAACGCACCUCCCUGGGCAGAGGAAGGGAUGCUGCUCCAUUUCUCAAGCUUGGAAAAAUAAAGGAGAAAGUAGGAGAAAAUUCCUGGUGCUCUUUUUCCACUUGUAGCAAUGUAAAGGGCAGAGAAUUAAGUGCUGUAGUAGGAAAACAGUUUUAUAAAGCAUACUCCUUGAUGAAUAUGAAUGAAAUCCCAGAUUCCAUUUUUUUUUUCUUAAUUGUCUGCAUUUUGUUCAGAACAGGGCAACAAACAGAAUUCAUUACAAGUCCAUGUAAAUAGGUCUCAGGCAUCCAUCUGUUCAGCUGGCUGAAUACUUGAAUCUAGUAUGAACACCUUGGUGAAGAGCAGACAGGGAUUACAAUACUGUCACACAAUUCAUGACUUCCUUCUAAGACCUUUUUAGGCCCCAUUCAUCAGUACAUCUGACUUCUUGUAUCUUCUGUGAAUGCCCUUCGUUAAGCCAUGAAAUAAUGGUGCAUUUAAACCAGAAGUGAAAGAAAGUUUUAAGGUUCUAGAGCCAGGAAGAUGGAAAGUACAGCUUUUUUUGUUGUUUUUCUUUUUUCCUUGCUUGCAGUAGUUGUUUUCUCUUCUACAACCCAUCCAUUAGCUUUGCACAGUCACAUCCUGAGUUGCUGAUUCAAGGUGUUUUGUGAGAAGUGGAUAACUAUGUUUGCCAUAAACAACCUUUCCAACACAAUACAUUGCUCUGAUUUACAUGCAUGUAAGCGAAGGGCUUUGCUGCUAACCCCCACAAACUCUUUCAGGACUAGCAAAUAAUUACAGAAACUUUAUUUUUAUUUCAAAUUCAAGAUAUCUUUCCUUUACUCUUUUAUGGAUAUUUGCUAUGUUUGUAUGGGCAAGUAAAUUAUUUGAAUAGGUGAGAGAAACAUUCACAAGACAGGAUUUUUGCAGGUUACACAACUCUGAUCGUAAGAGGAGAGCAGACAGUUCAAUUGGCAUACAGGUUGCUAUUUUUCCAUGAAUUCAUGGCCUAUGGUCUUAGAUGGCAUUGGCAGAGCACCAAACCGAAAGCUCUAGCUUGCUGAGAAGCAAAAUCACUGUGGCCAAAAAAAAAUGAUGCCAAACCAUCUAUUGAUGUUCUGGGUAAUUUCCAUCCAAAAUUAAAUUUUCAACUAAUUUUUGCAUUGACAUGCAAUUCAGUUGUGUUGCCUAUCGUAUUUAUAAUUAGCACAUACAGAAGUGCUUGAUUUCCUCUAUUGGCUUCCCAGCAAAUACACCUGCACAGGAAAAAAAAGAUGUGCUCUUUAUUGGUACUAGCCGGAACAGGUGUUAGUAAAAUCUGUGAAAGAGAACUGAGAUCUAGAUACUGAAAGAUACCAAAACUCUUAUGAUCAUUUCUAAAAUCAAUUUAAGUUUUCUGACAAAUAACUAAGUAGCCUGCAACCAAGUAAUUGUAUUUCACUUUUGCUUGAUUAGCCUAAAAUGAACAGAAUGAAGUUUCUUCAUCUUAACUACAAUAAUACAAACUCAUCAGGAGCCCAGCAGGAAGAAAUCAAUUUGGAUUCCCAGAAAAAAAAAUGUACAUUGCCGAAGAGGUACCAAAUUUACAUUAAUAAAUUUCAUUUCAGCAGCACACAAACCAUCUGUGACUUAAGGUCUUAAAUGCAUUAAUGGCUUUUAAAAAUGAUGCAUUUCAACCCAAGACCCUUAUAAACUUUAUAAACUGGAAUAGUGAAUACAUCAAAAUAACUUAAAAUCAGGGGCUGAAUUGAGCAGUAAUUAAGGAAUUCUCUCUCCCUACCUCUUCACCUUAAUCCUUCUCUAUCUUCCUAAUGUGUUUGUUGCUCUUCAUGCACACUGCUUACUCCUGCAAAAGCAUGUGCAAAAUCAAACACGGAAUCUGCAGUCACUAGAAAACCCAAAUGCUCAUCAUUGUCUAUUUCUAUCACAAAAGUGCUACAAAUAUUUUUGUAAUAGACUUUUUAAGAGUUUAAUAAUAUAUAAAGGUACCAUUUACCAUUUAAAAGGUACCUUUUUUUCCCCACAGCUCUAAGUCUUGCCUGACUGUAUGAAAAAUGCAAAGCUUGAACAACGUGAAUUCAUAAUCUUCUUUGAAAAACUUAAACAUGCUACCCCCUAACUCUAGUUUUAUAGGUUUCUUUCCUCUGUUCCGUUUCUGUUCAGCUAUUAAGUUAAGCUAGCCAUAACUUCCUAUUUGUCUAGUACUGAAUAUACAGACUUCAAAGUUGAUACGUCCUCCUGUGUUUAUAAAACUUUUUGCCAUGUCACUGUUUUUAUAGGAAUCCUUCCAAUGAUUACAGAUAAUUUUUCUAUCAACAAGGUCUACCAUCGGUCUUGAAAUUCAAUAUGCAGAUAAAAAAGCAAAUCCAGAUUUCUGAGUAACAUGAGUGUUUCGAGGUGCUAGGAUUCAAAAUGCAGUAGUGAUGAAUUCAUUCUCCCUCUAAUCACUGUAAGAUCAGAAUUUGGGAUAUCACGUUAAUCAUCCCCACAAAAAUCCCAUCUUAAAAUGUACUUAUUUAAAGCCAGGAUCUUGAUCAAAACAUACUCUCAGGUUACAAUAAGGGCCUAUAACAGGGCACAGACAGACUGCCUAGGUGUAAUGAGGCUGAUGGAUGAAUAACAAUAUUGCUAUUCAUACAUGCAGACCCUGCCAUAUCUGACCCAUCUGCUGUUAAAACUGCAAAUGUGUACCAAGGGAUGGUAGAUUAUUUUUUUCCUUUGUGUUAUUCAGAGAGAGACAUUCAUUUAACUUCACUUGCAGGCACCAGAUCUAUGCUUACUUGUGAUGAGCAAAAACCUGAGGCUAAUUUUUGACUGGCUUAGGACAUUUUGCAAACUCAGUAUAAUAGACAACUGUGAAAUUGUAUUCACUGAAAUAAAUAUGCCUAACAAUGAAACUUUAAAAGGAAUUUCUCCAUUAACAAAUUGUACAAAGACUAGAUUUUAGCCAAAUAUUAUAAAUGAGGAAGAAAUAAUGUCGGCAUAUAUAUAUAUUUCUAUAAAACAAUAUCUGGUUUACCCUUGGAAAUUCACAAUUAGAGUACUGUAUCUACCACCAUUUACUGUUUGAAAGUGCUAGAGCACUGUACUUUACUGCUAUACUAGACUUUUCCAUUUUCAGUAGCUCUGUAUCUGAAAGCCUGCUACAGCCACUUACUGAAUAAACAUAUUUGAUUCUUCUACAUAGUUUGAGUCCGAUUUGCUAAUUGCAGUGAUGAUUCUGUAUUUUGUACAGAAGAGGGAGAGCUGGAUUAUUUUUUUUUUUUAGAAUUGAAUUUUUAUCUGUUUGUCACAGAAAAAUACAAAAUACUUGCACACAUUUGACCUCCAGAGGUCCCUUCCAACUUCAGCCAUUCAGUGCGCACAUGUUCUCAUGUAAGAAACUUUCUGAUCCAGUUAGUGCAUGUGAUUCUACUCUUAUGGGGAAUCUUUGAAUGACUAACAGCAUGCAAACUGCAAUGAGAGAAGACACUGACGCAUUCCUGACUUAUGUAGGGUGCUCUGCUGGGACCGAGCUUUUUUCAGAUGCUCACCGUGAUUUUCCUGAUUAUCUUUCUCAGAACCCAGAAUUUUCCAGAGCUGGAGUAAAGCAUAACCUUUAGGGCUCUACUGACCAUGUUACUGCACCUUCACUGGCAUCUUCUGCAGUUCUGUACAGCAAGUAACACUCUAUAUGACUAUACCUCUCAUUUUUCUGGAGAACUGAGGUAUUUUUUCUCCACCUAGAGUGCAAUUACUGAGAUACAAUAUCCUCCCUGGCAAUAUUUGCUGUUGAAUAGGAUUCAUUAAGGCAGUCAAAAUCCACAUCCUACAGUCAACUUCAAAACAACUUUAACAAAUGGACAGAAAGCAAUCUCCUCAGUAAGCUCAUGACAGUCUAUAUAUACCACACGACUAUGUUAAUCAGAGUAUGUGAAAUGCAGAAAAUUUUCAAAAUGACUUACACAUCUCUGCACUUACCUACCUAAUUUAUACUGUUCAAUUUUCAGCAUUUCUGCUGGAGGGAGCUACAAAAUAAAAUUUAAAGCAAGCUGACUAUUAUAAACUGAAGGGCCCUCCAGAAUAUUUUUUCUUUUAGUUUAAAAUGGAGGUAAAAAAAACCUGCUGCUAGAUAUACCUGAUACAUUCAAAGUAGUUCACUAAAAUUAGCCUUGGCAUUUCACUUAUUAAAGCUACAUGCAACCACUAGACUAGACUGCCCAGAGCCACAUCCAACCUGGCCUUAAAUGCCUCCAGGGAUGGGGCAUCCACAACCUCCUUGGGCAACCUGUUCCAGUGCAUCACCACUCUCUGUGUGAAAAACUUCCUCCUAAUAUCCUAAACCUCCCCUGUCUCAGUUUAAAACCAUUCCCCCUUGUCCUAUCACUAUCCACCCUAGUAAACAGCCGUUCCCCCUCGUGUUUAUACACUCCCUUGUAUUGGAGAGUAUUGGAAGGCCACAAUGAGGUCUCCCCGAAAUCUUCUCUUUUCCAAGCUAAACAAGCCCAGUUCCCUCAACCAUUCCUCAUAGGAGAGGUGCUCCAGCCGUCUGAUCAUCUUAGUGGUCCACCUCUGGACCCACUCCAAGAUCUUCAUGUCCUUGUGCUGGGGGCCUCAGGCCUGGAUGCACUAUUCCAGAUGGGGCCUCACAAGACCUGAGUAGAGUGGGACAAUCAUCUCCUUCUCCCUGCUGGCCAGCCCUUCUUUAAUGCAGCCCAGAACAUAGUUGGCUUUCCAGGCUGCAAGCACAUGCUGCUGGCUCACAUCCAGCUUCUCGUCCACCAGGACCCCCAGGUCCUUCUCCACAGGCUUUUCUGCUGUUGUAUUGCUUAAACUUGCUUUUUCAUACCACCUCCCCAGUGUUUUGCAGCAAGCAGCUACAGUCAUCCACUCCAUCCGUAUGUAACGACAGACUCUGCUGAUCAGCACACAAUGAAAUUGCAGCACAAUGAGCCAAGCAAACAGCUUUGUGAGUGCAUGUGUCAGGUCAAAUGUUGCACCGGCUUCAUUUACCCAAAUAAUUUCAAGUUCACAGGUAGUUUAUUGGCUAAGUAUUCAGCAUCCACUCUCAUGGGACUGGUCACCCAAGCUAGAGGGAAUUUUACACAAACAUUAAACAAUGCAAUAACAAAAAAGUGAACACAAAAUAACAGCUAGUGUAUUAAACUUCUAGUAAGAAGUUCUGUAAAAGAUCAGAUAAAAUACAGCCACUACAAAAACAUUCCCAAAAGUGGAGUCAUUCACCUUUAAGUUUGCAGAUAUCUAAUAAAAAGCAAUAUAAACAUGGUUUAUAUUAAUUAUUCCUGGAAAAUAGAAAAAUGUUUAUUCUUAUUUCUUCCACAUUCAGUUUGUUGCCUAGUGCACCCUGAUCUAGUAUCUAGGAAGGCAUUUAAGCAUAUAAUAAACUCCUAUUUAAUGGAAAAAAAACACAACCACAUACAAUGUGCAUUUAAAAAAAUAAUAUACAAGGCAGCUAUGGCACAACUCUCCCAUCCUAAAUAGUACUGCUGCAGAUACAGUUCAUAUAAUUAUCUCAUUCUUAAACUGAUAACUGGACACAACAAACAGCUUUCUGUAUUGGGAAAAUAGAAAAAGUGGCUAAUUUUCAACCAUUACUUUGUACAGAGACAUUUUACUUCUCUGAAAUAAAGUAACGUAUUGAAGUAAAGCAUUUACUCAUGAAGUAAACGCAGACUGUCAAAAAAAAUACUUGCAUGUUUUUAUUUGCAUAGAACAUCAAUUGAUAAUUCAAGCUGAAAGCUGGCACAGUAUUCUUCUCUACUGUUACUAGAAAAAUAACUGGCUUGGUAUGAUUUGCAGACAUAAUCUGUGAUUUCCUUCAUACGUACACUUCUCAGUAUAGCUUCAUUACUGUGGAACCUACACAUUGCAUGCUCUCAGAAGUAUUCAUCUUCACAGAAAAAUAUGAGGUACAAACACGCUAACAAUUUUGUCUUGAACUACAGGCUCCCAAAUUCAGAAAUGAAGUUCCUUUGCUAAAGCUCACACAGGAAUGUUCUCAUAAAGCAACCUCAGACUGCCUCAGACUUACCUCUUCAGAUCUCUUUCUCCUGACGUGCUAUAGCAACGCAGCUCUUUGGGCAAACGUCUGCUGGCCCCUUCUUCCCCACACUGCCCACAUUGCUCAGGCAGAGCCCCACCACAGUCACCGGCCACUGUGUGUCUCUGACACAGUACGUGCUACUCAGUUAGGAAAAUAAUGAUGGUAUCCUUCCAAUAAAAUUUAGGUUUCAGCUUUGAGUCUAGAUGAUUAUUAUUAUUAUUAAGGAUUAGAACUUGUAUAAGAAAGGUUCAUCAGUUAUAUAGAGGAGUGAAUACCGCAGAGAGAGAGUUGCUGACUUUAAUGGAUAAAUGUUAUCAAAGUCUUAACAUAUUUUUCACAUUCUAUAAAAAUAGUUUUUCCUGAAAUUUCCUUACUCCGCCUCUUAUAAAACAGAUGAUGUGCUGAAAACAACAGCAUGCCUUUGUUCGGGCUACAGAAUUUGGGUAGUAGUUUUGUCACAACAUGGGUUUCACACACUUAAACUUAUGUAGUUUCUCAGAAGUACAUGCCAGAAUGAUUUUACGCUGCACUAUCACUCAGUGUGAAUGCUCAUCUUUUGCCCAAGGUCAAGGCAAGAGAAUAUUCUUUCCCAUGGGAGCAUCUGCAAACUGAGAAAAUGUAACACAGUUCAACUGUAGAUUUACACUCCAGCCUAAGGCACUGUAAUAAGCUUAUGACAACAAGACUUACAUUUAAAUGACUAGCUUUUUACAGUUACAAUGCAGCAGCCAAACACAGUGCUGUGAGUAAAUUAAAGUUUGCAGUGGCGAGGUUUGAUUAAUCACUGAAAAUACCAGUCCCUAAAUGAGUAAUACAUCAAACAUAUCAUUUAGAAAUAGCAUUAAACAAUAAGGCUAUGCAUCUAGACUAAUAAAUUAAACAAUGUCUAGGAAACUCCCAUCUACUGGAAUACUGUUUAUUCAUGUAACUUGACUGUUACUUAGAAGUUAGAGCCUUCUAGGAGCUGUUCCCAAUAGGUAGAACACAACAUAAGCAUAAACAAGGAUUAUUCCAGCUAAGUCUCAGAAGUUGCAAUAUUCCUGUGCUAAGUUUAAUUCAUUAGUAUAGACAUAACUUAAGUGUGCCAACUUUGGAAAGUAAGAUUUCUUUAGUUUCAAUAAUUUAUUUUUUUUUUUAAUAUUCUGCUCUUGUGGAAAUAAUAGCCCUCUAAAUAGCUACCAACUAAUGGGACUUUCAUUUCUUCUUUUCUCCUGAAAAAGACAUAAGAAAAGAGAAACAGGAAAAUAUUACUGGAAAAUUAGUAGGCUCAAUAUACACCAGUUAAUACAUAACACAUCAAAUACUCAGUAAAGGCCAAAAAUACCAGUGAUUAAGUUUCCCAUAGUCUGAAAUAGGUAUUGAUGAGCAAAGAGUUUAUAAGGCUUGGGGCUCUGCAGCAGUUUGACCUUUCCCUUGUUACACUACGUUGAAUGCAUACCAGCUCAGAUGGCGUACAACAAUCUCCCUGGUUUUAAUGCUUCCCCCAGUUUUAAUACUUUACCUAAAGGAACUGACCGAGACUCUUUUGGUGACAGGGCUUUCUUGUCAACUGAUAUUCCAUAUUAUUUUGGAGUGUUUUGAAAUGCUCAUUGGAAAAAGGAAAACUGCUGGGUUGGAGUCAGAUAGCAUGGGACUUCUCCCACGCAGGUACACAGACCAACUCAUCCCACAACAGCUCUCCCACUGUCAUUGCAAUGCUCUUUUAAAUGGCAACUCACAUCGGUUCUCAUGUCUUGAUGUUCUUAAGGUCACCUAAGCUUCACCAGAUGGGGCAGCAGGAGUAACGUCAAAUGAAUCUCGCUGUUCAAGAAACACAAUUAUGUUAUUAUCACAGUAGCAUGCAUCUAAGCACCACAAACACAAGAUCAGUAACUUCAAUGUAUUGUUAGCAAUAGUUGUUCUUAUAUUCUUUCCUUAUAUUAACUUGUUUUAAUAAUGCAGUAGCAUACGUUUGCACCUUAAGCGCUACUGUAUUAUUAUUCUUAUUAGAUAAAUUAUGUAAUAUUUUGUUAGCAAUUAUUUGCUUAUGACAGAUAAGACUACGGCUACAACAGUAUCCAAAGUAGCUCAGUCAGAUGAAACUCGCUCAAACUGCUGAACUGUCACAUGUGAUGUAGGACUUUUAAUGACAAAAAUACUCAUUACCAGGAGAAUAAACUUGCAAACCAGGAACCAUUCCUAAUAAAAUUUGACCAGGUACUGACCAGGAAGAGAGGUCACCUAUGGUAAAGUAAACCCUCGAUUACAAAAUGACUGGUUUUAAGAAUGCACUUCAGUGGCAAAAAAAAUAAGAAAUAGAAAUCCCAGCAGAGAAGCAACUACAGUGCAAAUGAGCACGAGAAAACAAAGUGAAAAGUCGAAAAACUGGAAAUUUGACACUUCAUUUUCUAUAAUGUGUAUUGCACACAAACAAAUCUGCAGAAGGAGAAACUUACCUUCGACAAUUUCCGUGCACUCCAAACACCAAGACUUGCACAAAGAAAGAACAGCACAAAGAAAAUGCUGAGUCCUGCCACUAAAGAACAAAAAGGAAAUUAUAUAUGACUAAAUCAUUAAGAAAAGGAAAAGCAUAAAUACUUUCAUUGGCAGUGGGUAAUUAUGCAACACUAAAUGCUGCAAUAAAUGCUUUAUUUUUCCAACACAAAUCUCAUUGAAGUCUGACUGAGUACAGAAUUAAGCAAAGCAUAUUAUGGCUCAUUAUAUUUGGUGGUUUUUUCCCCAGUGCAAAGAAAUUUCCAUCUAGAUUAAAGUGUAAUAAAUGAGCUCCACAGAACUCACCUCUAGUACAUUCUAAAGCAUCUGUUCAGUCACAAGAAAUUAUACUAGCAUGCAGAACCUUUCUAAGGGGUAACUGCUUUCAAUUUGAGAGGGCUUGCAAGGCCCUCCUUAGAGUUCUCAUUUUUAUUCAGAAAAUUCAAAAAUGAAGCGGAUUUCACAAUUUUCUCAAGAAAUUCUGUGAUUCCACCUUGAAAAUAAUUGGAACACUUUAAGACCAAGGUAGUCUCAGCUCUGCUUUUGCAGGAAUUUAAGUAAUGCGCUACUAUCCUUUGACUACUCGUUUCCUUUUAGGUUCCCUUCCUUUAGUUGUGAUUCAAUAGUACAACAAAUUAAAUACAUAACACAAAGGAAAGUUAUCAUGUCUAGUUAUUAAUAUAAACAAAAAGCUGAGUUAAAUUUUAAUAAAUGUUAAUAAUUAUGUUAAUAUUAUUUUCAAUUAACAUUAGUAUUAGCAUGCAUUAUUUGCAGUAAAGUGAUGAAGUAAGGUUAAAUAACAUUUAUUUCUAGUCUCAAAACAGCUUUGUAAAUGCAAUAUAAUAACAUUUCACUGACUUAACCUCUUCUAUCACAAUGUGAUAUUUAUCUCCAGUGUUAGAAUAUCAACAGCUACCAUUGCUCACAAUAUCACUGGUGCUAUAGCUUCUAUUGAAAGAAAAUAAGUCCCACACAGUAGUUAUUGUAUCAAGAAAGCUAAUUACCAUGGCUUAGUCUACUACAAGGAUAUGCUUAUUAUUCAAAUAAAUCCCCAGAGAAAUAUCAUGAUUUACAAUUAAAGGAGUGUCUUUAAUACUCUUUCACAGAAAGAAAGUUUUUUUUUUUUCCCUGCGUAAUGUAUGUGAGUCUAUACAUGUAUUUGUUCCCAAUGGCAGGAGAAGUUGGAAAUUCAAAACUUUGGUUAAAAAAAAUAUGAAUAUUUAGCAGAAUUAUACAUAUUGAAGUUGCCAACCUACCUAAUAUAGAUGCAUUACUUAUUGCUGUUAAAAAAUAAAGAAAAUGAAAAUUAGAAACACAAGUAAACCAUACAACUACGUAUAAUAAAGCUGAAAGCUGUUUCCCCCCCUUUUUUUUUUUUGGUGACACAAAGCACCAAAUUUACUUAAAUGGUAGAAACAAAUUAGCUCAUUAUUUUCCUCCAAAAGAAUCAGUUAUGGCUAUUAACUACUUUUCACCUACAUUCACUAUACUUGUAGGUUAAUUUCUAUGUACCCUUCUUUACGUGUGUUUUAUCUGUUAGGCAGGUUAUAUAUUCACAGUUGUAUGUUCUCAUAUAUUCACAGCUGUACAUUUACAUGUAUUUUCAAUUAGCAUAACCAAGUCGAAGUCAGAAAGUUGGCUUUCUUCAGAUCCUGCCACAAGCAGGCCAGUCAUUUGCACCCACAGAGAAAUAAACAUGACACUUAAGCAGUGUGGGAGGGAAUUUUUCUGCUGUGACCUUCUUCGGUUUUCUUCCUCUAGCAUAGGAUUCCAAGUUAUCCACGGACCAUGAAAAGAAAAGCAUCUGACAUUUUAAACAGAAUGACUUAUAUUCUGUUUCUUGAUAGACAGUUAUUUAGGCUGGGUUAUUUGAGAUGCCUCAAAUAUUUUCUCUGUUUUUAUCUUUCACUUCUGUAAAUACAUCAGGAAACUUGUUUAAAUCAUUCAUAGGGUUAUACUGCAGCUAAAUUGGUUCAUGUUCACAACAUUUGAGUAGAAAGCACAGACAAAAGGCACAUCAGUAUGGAAGUCCCAUAUUCACCUUUAUUUCAGUGCAGCAGUACUGGCAGAGACACAGCUAGUGAACUCUCAGCAGCCUGAUCAGCAUUUAGUACAGAUUAAAGUACAGACAAAUACUGAUGAGUUCUGCUCAUAAUAUCUUAGUACCAAAGUGACUCAUUUCUAAGUGUUUCCCCUUGUGAGUAGACCACAGAGUUGGCCCUGUGCCCAUGACAUAAUGCUGAACAAAACAAGAUCAAGGCACCUGCAAGUCCGUCCUUCUGUAGCUAUGCCAUGCUGCACAUCAGUUUAAACAUCAGAUUUGGGUACAAUCGUUCAAGCAAAUUAGCAAAUUCCCUUCUGUUAGCAGAGACACAGUAAGUGCAUUCUGAGCUCAAUGCAGUCAGCAAUAACUCAUGCUAUUUUGACUACUGGGUUUUACUUUACACCUGGAACAUCAGUGCCCCUGCUGUCUAUUACCUGUCCCUAUAGGAUGGAAGGUUGCUUGGCCCCACAGGGAUGCAAUCAACUUUGAUUGUGCUGUCAGUCUUACCUGUGGAGGAAUCGGCAAUUCCUGUCUCUAGAAGAGAAGAGAGCAAACUUUUAAACUUCGAUAGCUCAGGGCUUAGGCAGCAGGCUUAGUGAUAGGUAGCGGAGAAAAGCAACUUACAUCACAGUGACAGUGUCAAGAUGAAGGAGCACAAAAAUCAAACUUCAAACAGGAAGAGACACAGCAGGACAGGCACAGAAAGAGUGGACAACUCUACAAGAAUCAGCCAGGGGGAAAAACAGGGAAAAGAAAAGAGUGAAGUCACAAAGCUCAGGUGUGCGCAUUGAGGGAAGGACUGACUCAGGACUUGGAGGAAACAACAAAUUAAAAACAGACCUGAAUCUAGAAGUAAUACCUUUGCAUAUUUUGGCUGGAGUAAGAUACAAAUAUCUCCAUGCAUUUCCUGUGUACACUAAAAAAAGCUUCCAUACAGACUCUCUAACAACUGGAGAACCAAUGCUUCUUGUGCAGCCAAUGGCUCAGACUGUGAAUGAACUGGUCAUUAACAAGAACUUAAACAAGGAAAUAAUUUCUCUUAAUCCCCAGAAGAGGCUGCUAUUAUCACAGUAGGUGUGUGGUACCCUGAAGCCUCCAGAAAAACACAUAUCUUCAAAGCUUUGAAUGACUGCCUUGACCUCCAGUUUUUCCGGUGAUGGAAUCCAAAUUCUGUACAUUCCACUCCUUUUCCAGGAAUACUAACAAUUAAUACAAUGUGCAAAACAAAGGACAAACCUAAGGAUCAAAUGGGGGAAAAAAAAACAAACUCCCGUUUACACUAAGACAGAGCUAAACACCAAAGAGUAACUACGCUGGCUGGUCUUCCCAUUCAAUUUCACUUAAGAAUCUACUAAAUAUAUUUGCUUUGAUUUGUAUUUCAG